GUGAGGAAUAUUGCGCAAUGGAGGCAACUCUGACGCAGCCAUGCCGCGUGCAGGAAGAAGGCGCUACGCGUUGUAAACUGCUUUUAACCGGGAAGAAACCCCAGGACGUGUCCUGGGUUGACGGUACCGGAGGAAUAAGCACCGGCUAACUUCGUGCCAGCAGCCGCGGUAAUACGAAGGGUGCAAGCGUUAUCCGGAUUCAUUGGGUUUAAAGGGUGCGUAGGCGGAGCGUUAAGUCAGUGGUGAAAUCCUGCAGCUUAACUGUAGACUUGCCAUUGAUACUGGCGCUCUUGAGUGCGCUUGAAGUGGGCGGAAUGUGCCGUGUAGCGGUGAAAUGCUUAGAUAUGGCACAGAACACCAAUUGCGAAGGCAGCUCACUAAGGCGAUACUGACGCUGUGGCACGAAAGCGUGGGGAUCGAACAGGAUUAGAUACCCUUGUAGUCC
rnacentral:rRNA from 1 species